rnacentral:rRNA from 1 species
UACGGAGGGAGCUAGCGUUAUUCGGGAUUACUGGGCGUAAAGCGCACGUAGGCGGCUUUGUAAGUUAGAGGUGAAAGCCUGGAGCUCAACUCCAGAAUUGCCUUUAAGACUGCAUCGCUUGAAUCCAGGAGAGGUGAGUGGAAUUCCGAGUGUAGAGGUGAAAUUCGUAGAUAUUCGCAAGAACACCAGUGGCGAAGGCGGCUCACUGGCCCGGUACUGACGCUGAGGUGCGAAAGCGUGGGGAGCAAACAGG